GGCGCUAUAGCCAAGUGGUUACGGCGACAGAUUAGAACCGGGGAAUUAAUCCUAUUUCAACAUAUCUGUUCCUCUUUGAGGGCGCAGGUUCAAAUCCUGCUGGCGUCG